rnacentral:rRNA from 1 species
CCUACGGGUGGCAGCAGUCGAGAAUAUUCGACAAUGGGCGAAAGCCUGAUCGAGCGACGCCGCGUGCGGGAAGAAGCUCUUCGGAGCGUAAACCGCUUUUCUCUGGGAGGAACUAAAGUGACUGUACCAGAGGAAUAAGGCCUUGCUAACCUCGUGCCAGCAGCCGCGGUAAGACGAGGAGGCCAAGCGUUAUCCGGAUUUACUGGGCGUAAAGGGUGUGUAGGGGGCAUAGUUAGCCCCGCCUUAAAUCUUUAGGCUUAACCUAAAGCAGGGGUGGGGAACGGCUAAGCUUUAGAGGGUGCCAGAGGCAAAUGGAACUCAUGGUGUAGGGGUGAAAUCCGUUGAUAUCAUGGGGAACACCAAAGGCGAAAGCAUUUAACUGGGGCAUUCCUGACCCUGAGACACGAAAGCGUGGGGAGCAAAAAGGAUUAGAUACCCUUGUAGUC